GGAUCCGUGGCUCAGCUGGUUAGAGCGCCUCAUUCACAUUGAGGAGGUCGGGGGUUCGAACCCCUCCGGGUCCA
rnacentral:tRNA from 1 species